GGUCAAAAAUCAAAUUUUGAUAUGUGAAAACUGGUACCAUGCAGACAACAAAAUCAAGCAUAGAAAAAAUAAUUGCUGUUGAUAACAAGAUUUAAUCUGUCAUUUACACUGAAAACUGAGCUGAAUGGGAGAAUCUCUUAUCAUGGCGGCUGAUGACGUGUAUGCGGCAAUUCAUUACAACUGCUGUGCCUAUAGCACUAAAUGGGUUAGUUAGAAUUUUGAAAAAGAUUCUUUGAAUGAGGAUAUCAGGCUAAUCCAUUUUCUUUUGGAAACGAAUGAAAAACUCAUAUGCAGAACCUAUUGACCAACCUGGACUAUCAGCAUCUAAGGAAACAGCUCAAUGAAGACAUGAAUAGUGACAAAAAUAUCCCACUCUCAAUCCAUAUUGAAGAAUAAAUCAACUUUGUGCAACAUAUACAGAUAGAAUUGCCCAGUCAUUGUCCAUCAUAUGUGCUAAGGAAUGUUCAAGUGAAGAAUGAAGAAGUGAAGAUAAUGAACUGUAUAAAGAAUACAAAAUUAAAAGUUUAAGAAUUAA